CCUACGGGUGGCAGCAGUGGGGAAUUUUGCGCAAUGCUCGUAAGAGUGACGCAGCGACGCCGCGUGAAUGACGAAGGCCUUCGGGUCGUAAAGUUCUUUCGACAGGGAAGAAAAUGCCUAUAAGUAACUGUGUAUGUAUUGACGGUACCUGUAUAAGCAGCCCCGGCUAACUCCGUGCCAGCAGCCGCGGUAAUACGGAGGGGGCGAGCGUUGUUCGUGGUGACUGGGCGUAAAGAGAACGUAGGCGGUGUUGUAAGUCAUUAGUCAAAGAAUAGAGCUCAACUUUAGGAAGGCUAGUGAUACUAAAAUACUAGAGUAACAGAGAGGAGUUCAGAAUUCCUGGUGGUGCGGUGAAAUGCGUAG
rnacentral:rRNA from 1 species